UUGAACGCUGGCGGAAUGCUUUACACAUGCAAGUCGAGCGGCAGCGCGGGGCAACCUGGCGGCGAGCGGCGAACGGGUGAGUAACAUAUCGGAACGUACCCUAUCGUGGGGGAUAACACAUCGAAAGAUGUGCUAAUACCGCAUACGCCCUACGGGGGAAAGCGGGGGAUUCGCAAGGACCUCGCGUUAUUGGAGUGGCCUAGGCCUGAUUAGCUAGUUGGUGAGGUAAAGGCUCACCAAGGCGACGAUCAGUAGCUGGUCUGAGAGGAUGAUCAGCCACACGGGAACUGAGACACGGUCCAGACUCCUACGGGAGGCAGCAGUGGGGAAUUUUGGACAAUGGGGGAAACCCUGAUCCAGCCAUUCCGCGUGAGUGAAGAAGGCCUUCGGGUUGUAAAGCUCUUUCAGGAGGGAAGAAACGGUUACGGAUAAUACCUGUGACUAAUGACGGUACCUUCAGAAGAAGCACCGGCUAACUACGU
rnacentral:rRNA from 1 species